CGGGUUAAGUCCCGACAACGAGCGACCUACCUUGUUGUUUAGUUGCAAACAGGUCAAGCUGUGCACUCUAGACAGACUGCCCGUGGACAACACGGAGGAAGGUGGGGAUGACGUCAAAUCAUCAUGCCCCUUAUGAUCUGGGCUACACACGUGCUACAAUGGCCGGUACAACGGGCAGCGAAGGAGCGAUCCGGAGCGAAUCCUAAAAAGCCGGUCCCAGUUCGGAUUGCAGGCUGAAACUCGCCUACAUGAAGUUGGAGUUGCUAGUAAUCGCGAAAUCAGAAUGUCGCGGUGAAUGCGUUCCCGGGUCUU
rnacentral:rRNA from 1 species